GACGAACGCUGGCGGCGUGCUUAACACAUGCAAGUCGAACGGAAAGGCCCCUUUGGGGGUCCUCGAGUGGCGAACGGGUGAGUAACACGUGAGUAACCUGCCCUUGACUUCGGGAUAACUUCAGGAAACUGGGGCUAAUACCGGAUAGGAAUCCUUGCUGCAUGGUGGGGGUUGGAAAGCUUCGGCGGUUUUGGAUGGACUCGCGGCUUAUCAGCUUGUUGGUGGGGUAGUGGCUUACCAAGGCUUUGACGGGUAGCCGGCCUGUGAGGGCGACCGGCCACAUUGGGACUGAGAGACGGCCCAGACGCCUACGGGAGGCAGCAGGGGGGAAUAUUGCACAAGGGGCGGAAGCCGGAUGCAGCAACGCCGCGGGCGGGAUGACGGCCUUCGGGUUGGAAACCGCUUUCAGCAGGGGCGAAGCUUGUGGUGACGGUACCUGCAGAAGAAGCACCGGCUAACUACGUG
rnacentral:rRNA from 1 species